rnacentral:rRNA from 1 species
GACGAACGCUGGCGGCGUGCUUAACACAUGCAAGUCGAACGGAAAGGCCUUUUCGGAGGUACUCGAGUGGCGAACGGGUGAGUAACACGUGGGUGAUCUGCCCUGCACUCUGGGAUAAGCCUGGGAAACUGGGUCUAAUACCGGAUAGGACCGCACUUUAGUGUGUGUGGUUGAAAGUUUUUUCGGUGUAGGAUGAGCCCGCGGCCUAUCAGCUUGUUGGUGGGGUAAUGGCCUACCAAGGCGGCGACGGGUAGCCGGACUGAGAGGUUGGUCGGCCACAUUGGGACUGAGAUACGGCCCAGACUCCUACGGGAGGCAGCAGUGGGGAAUAUUGCACAAUGGGCGCAAGCCUGAUGCAGCGACGCCGCGUGGGGGAUGACGGCCUUCGGGUUGUAAACUCCGUUCGCCAGGGACGAAGCGUUUUGUGACGGUACCUGGAGAAGAAGCACCGGCUAACUACGUG